UACGUAGGGUGCGAGCGUUGUCCGGAAUUAUUGGGCGUAAAGAGCUUGUAGGCGGUCUGUCGCGUCUGCUGUGAAAAUCCGGGGCUCAACCCCGGACUUGCAGUGGGUACGGGCAGACUAGAGUGUGGUAGGGGAGACUGGAAUCCUGGUGUAGCGGUGAAAUGCGCAGAUAUCAGGAGGAACACCGAUGGCGAAGGCAGCUCGCUGGGACGGUACUGACACUAAG
rnacentral:rRNA from 1 species